rnacentral:rRNA from 1 species
UACGUAGGGGGCUAGCGUUGUCCGGAAUCAUUGGGCGUAAAGCGCGUGUAGGCGGUUCGGUAAGUCCGCUGUGAAAGUCGGGGGCUCAACCCUCGGAAGCCGGUGGAUACUGUCGAGCUAGAGUACGGAAGAGGCGAGUGGAAUUCCUGGUGUAGCGGUGAAAUGCGCAGAUAGUCAAGGAGGAACACCAAUUGCGAAGGCAGCUCGCUGGGACGUUACUGACGCUGAGACGCGAAAGCGUGGGGAGCAAACAGG